GAGCGGGCGGCGUGCUAUACAUGCAAGUCGAGCGGACAGAAGGGAGCUUGCUCCCGGAUGUUAGCGGCGGACGGGAGAGUAACACGUGGGUAACCUGCCUGUAAGACUGGGAUAACUCCGGGAAACCGGAGCUAAUACCGGAUAGUUCCUUGAACCGCAUGGUUCAAGGAUGAAAGACGGUUUCGGCUGUCACUUACAGAUGGACCCGCGGCGCAUUAGCUAGUUGGUGAGGUAACGGCUCACCAAGGCGACGAUGCGUAGCCGACCUGAGAGGGUGAUCGGCCACACUGGGACUGAGACACGGCCCAGACUCCUACGGGAGGCAGCAGUAGGGAAUCUUCCGCAAUGGACGAAAGUCUGACGGAGCAACGCCGCGUGAGUGAUGAAGGUUUUCGGAUCGUAAAGCUCUGUUGUUAGGGAAGAACAAGUGCAAGAGUAACUGCUUGCACCUUGACGGUACCUAACCAGAAAGCCACGGCUAACUACGUGCCAGCAGCCGCGGUAAUACGUAGGUGGCAAGCGUUGUCCGGAAUUAUUGGGCGUAAAGGGCUCGCAGGCGGUUUCUUAAGUCUGAUGUGAAAGCCCCCGGCUCAACCGGGGAGGGUCAUUGGAAACUGGGAAACUUGAGUGCAGAAGAGGAGAGUGGAAUUCCACGUGUAGCGGUGAAAUGCGUAGAGAUGUGGAGGAACACCAGUGGCGAAGGCGACUCUCUGGUCUGUAACUGACGCUGAGGAGCGAAAGCGUGGGGAGCGAACAGGAUUAGAUACCCUGGUAGUCCACGCCGUAAACGAUGAGUGCUAAGUGUUAGGGGGUUUCCGCCCCUUAGUGCUGCAGCUAACGCAUUAAGCACUCCGCCUGGGGAGUACGGUCGCAAGACUGAAACUCAAAGGAAUUGACGGGGGCCCGCACAAGCGGUGGAGCAUGUGGUUUAAUUCGAAGCAACGCGAAGAACCUUACCAGGUCUUGACAUCCUCUGACAACCCUAGAGAUAGGGCUUUCCCUUCGGGGACAGAGUGACAGGUGGUGCAUGGUUGUCGUCAGCUCGUGUCGUGAGAUGUUGGGUUAAGUCCCGCACGAGCGCAACCCUUGAUCUUAGUUGCCAGCAUUCAGUUGGGCACUCUAAGUGGGACUGCCG
rnacentral:rRNA from 1 species